AUCUUUCAACUAUUAGGGCGCGUUUGGUUCACACUAUAAAAUAUUACUAGGAAUAAAAAGAUGUCCGAAAGUUUUAUUCCUAUUCAUCCUAUUACUAAGAAUAUGGCAUUCCUGUGUUUGGUUCGCACGAUCAUAUUAUUUAGUCAUGUUAUUUAAGAUUACAAAAAAAUAUACAAUUAAUUUAUUUAUUUCUUUAAUUAAUUUUAGAUAAUGCUACCAUAAAUUUCAACAUUAUUUUAGAAAAAAGGAAAAGAGAACAUAGGUUAGAGAGAGAAAGCAUAAUUAAAAAAAUAGAAAGAGAAAUAGAGUCGAGGUUAGAGGGAGUGAGAGAAUUGAGAUUUUAGAAAAAAAAGGGGAAGAGAGAGCUUAGUUUAGAGAGAGAAAGCGAGUUCAAGUUUAGAGAGAAAAAGAUAAGUUUAGAGAAAGAUAUGAGGUUAGAGUGUAAAGAAAAAUAAUAUCAACUAGCGGCGGCGGGUAGGAAGAAAGAAAAAAAUUAGACAUAUUAUGAUUACAUCAAUCCAUUCAUAUGAGGAUACCCACGUUCCCUUAAGGGAAUGAGAUUAGUAUUUUGGGAUGAGAAAUACUAAUCUCAUUCCCAAGUAAAUCUAAUAUUACCAACUAGAUUACUUAGUGCGUUUAACCAAACACCGUCAUAUUUUUUUAUUCCUAUUGGAUUACUAGAAAUCUUAAAAAAAUAGCGCGAACCAAACACACCCUUAAGUUUAAUAAAAUGUAUUGUAUUGCACUAUACAUUCUAAAACUCUAUUAGCUGAAUUAUAUUGUGCUAGACAUGGUUUAUCAUGAUCCAAUGCUUUAUCAUGAUCCGAACAUCUCCCAUGGGAGUCACCAUACGGUUUCUAGCUUCGAAAGAAGUAAUCCAAACAUUUACAUCUGUGAAACCCCAACGAAGUUUUUUUGAAGAAUCCAAGUAGCGCCACACUAAUCCAUAGGAUAUAUUAUUUCUGGGAGGUUCCUGGGCAGGAUGGUAUCCAUCAAACUUUUAAAGUUUCCGCAAAACCAUUUAUAUGUAAUUCUUCAAUGUUUUCAUCUCAUUCAUCUUUUUUUAAUUGUUUAUUUACAGCGCAUGUUACGUAGCUUAAACUGAGACAAAACCGCAAGCAUGCAUAACAGGUAAAGACUUUUUUUAAUAAUAUAUAUAUAUAUAGAGAGAGAGAGAGGGUUGGGCUUUUGUGCUUUCGAAAGCACGAAAGCCUCCGUGCUUGCAAGUUCUUUUCAAUUAUAGAACAUCGGAUUCGACGAUCGGCUCUGUCAGGCAUGAUGACGCUAUUAGAACUAUUUAGAAACCAAAUUUCAUAAUUUUUUUAUUACGUUUGCCUAGUGAACGAGUGGCCUCAAAUGAACGGCUAAAAAUAAAAAUCUCAUAAAAAAUAAUGAUAAAAGAAUCAAAUUUCAAAUCGAAAGUAUUGUUCUUACUCCUGAUGUUAAGUAGAAUUUUCUAUUAAAGUUUCAUAUAAUUUGGAUUCUUCUACACUGUUGAACUUACAAAUUAACGUGCCACAUCGGCCAUUAAAAUAGUCAAUUUUGAGACUCUUUGAUCACUUCGUAAACGAUGUCGAAAAAUUAUAAAAUUUGAUUUCUAAAGUGAAAAACCGUUGAACCACAUGGGUGGGAUUUGAAGUCUUCCCUUUAAAUAAAACUAGUUAAGGGAUCUGCGCGAUGAUGCGGGUAGUUAUUUUAAAAUUUAAUUUUAAAAAUUAGUUAUAAAAAUUAAUUUCAGAAUUUAAAUGGUGUAAUAAGUACAUUAAAAAGUUUUAGUAAGCAUAGUAGUCUCCCAUUAGUUAGUGAAAUAAUUUUAGUAGGUAUCGUAGUCCCCCAGUAGUUAGUAAAUGAGAAGAGAAAUCAUGCUGCGGUUAGUUAUUUUAAAAUUUAAUUUUGAAAAUUAGUUAUAAAAAUUAAUUUCAGAAUAAUUAUGAAAUAUUACGGACACGCCGUGCCGCGCCGCCCCCCAGACGCGCCUCGGCUUUUUUUUUAGCGCCGAGAACCACCACCACCGGACCACCCAACGUGCCCCAGGUGCUCCUGUUUCACCGGAGCACCUGGUAUACUCUCCCUCCAGGUGCCACCUGGAAGGAGAGUAAGAGAGAGAGAGAGAGAGAUAUCUAUAUAUAUAUAUAUUAAAAUAAAUAUAUUAUAUAUAUAUUAAAUAAAUAUUUAUAUAUAAAUACAUAAUAUAUAUCAUAAAAUAUAUAUACAUUUAUAUUUUAAAAUAAAUAUUUAUAUAUAAAUAAAUAAAUAUAUCAUAAAAUAAAAAUAUAUCUAUAUAAUAAUAUAUUAUUAAAUAAUAUAUUAAAUGAUAAAUAAAAAUAUUUUACAUUUGAUAUAUUUAUUUACAAUUUAUUAAAUCUGAUAACCAUAAUCUAUAUGAAUAACGUAAUGCUAUGGAUGAUUUUUAAUAAAGUGAUUGAUGACCCCCUGAUGCUAUGGAUGAUUUUUAAUAAAGAAUAAUGUAAUCCUUUCUAUUGACGUAAAUAAAUUUUAAUAAAGCAUNAAAGAUAUGAGGUUAGAGUGUAAAGAAAAAUAAUAUCAACUAGCGACGGGUAGGGAGAAAGAAAGAAAUUAGACAUAUUAUGAUUACAUCAAUCCAUUCAUAUGAGAAUACCCACGCUCUCCCAAGGGAAUGAGGUUAAUUAGUACUUUGGGAUGAAUCUCAAUCCCAAGUAAAUCUAAUAUUACCAACUAGAUUACUUAGUGCGUUUAAUCAAACACCGUCAUAUUUUUUUAUUCCUAUUGAAUUACUAGAAAUCUUAAAAAGAUAGCGCGAACCAAACACACCCUUAAGUUUAAUAAAAUGUAUUGUAUUGCACUAUACAUUCUAAAAC
rnacentral:lncRNA from 1 species